rnacentral:rRNA from 1 species
UACGGAAGGGGCAAGCGUUGUUCGGAAUCAUUGGGCGUAAAGGGCGCGUAGGUGGUUCUGUAUGUCUACCGUGAAAGCAUACAGCUCAACUGUAUUUUGUCGGUAGAAACUGCAGGACUUGAGGCUGGGAGGGGCUGGUGGAAUUCCUGGUGUAGCGGUGAAAUGCGUAGAUAUCAGGAGGAACACCUAUGGCGAAGGCAGCUCUCUGGGACGGUACUGACGCUGAGACGCGAAAGCGUGGGGAGCGAACAGG